GGGCAUUGGGAAGAACCAGUUUUCAGGGAGAAGCUGAGAUGUGACCUCGUUUCUUUAAUCUUGUGCCAUAUUGAAUUAACUUGUCUCCAGGAGCUGAAGGCUGAGUUGUCCAGCAGAAGAAGCAGGUGUUGCAGCGCUGCUCCCUGUGGAGGUUAUUUCAAUACCCAGACGUCAUUAGCGCUGAGCUGCAGGACGUGGCAGUGCAGUAAAUGCGUCACGUUGCACUGGCUGCCGUGGUCCUCUGGUGCCUCCUGCCAUGGAUCAUCCUGGGAUCCUGGCAGCAAAGGUAACAUCUUGCCAGGGAGGAAAUGCUCUCUGUGCAAAUUCUUGCUUGCCGUGUUGGAGAGGCUCUACUCACUCUGGGGACCUGCAAGAUUCUUCAGCUUCUUGUCCCAGGAAAACCUACCCCAGUUUUACAAGGUCACUACAAUAAGGGAUAUUUUAUCUGUGGGUUGUGAUUCUAAUUUGAGUCCAGCUUCCAGACGAGUUCUGUAUCACUGACCAAGUCCUGGGCAGUGCAGGCUGAGGAGCAACCAACUCCAGUAUCCUUUGAUGGAGCAGGGACUGGCUCUGCUUUGUGCCAGACUGACCUUGAUGAAGGGCUGAUCCCACCCUGGCAGGACUCUGGCUCCAGCUCUGAUAUCACCUCUCCCUUCCUAGGCCCAUUCCAAUUUAGAGUUUAAGGCUGCCUCAGUUCUUCUCCAAAUAUAAAAAAAAUAAAUAAAGAAAAAAAUUGAUUAAAUCCA
rnacentral:lncRNA from 1 species